UUGUGGUGAAGGAACUCGGCAAAAUACCCCCGUACUUCGGGAUAAGGGGGACCUGAUACGUAUAAGAGCUUUGCCUUGAAAGCGUUGAGGGUCGCAGAGAACAGGCCCAAGCGACUGUUUACUAAAAACACAGGUCCGUGCUAAGUCGAAAGACGAUGUAUACGGACUGACUCCUGCCCGGUGCUGGAAGGUUAAGGGGAACUGUUAAUCAACUUUGUUGGUGAAGCGGUGAACUUAAGCCCCAGUAAACGGCGAUGGUAACUAUAACCAUCCUAAGGUAGCGAAAUUCCUUGUCGGGUAAGUUCCGACCUGCACGAAUGGAGUAACGAUUUGGGCGCUGUCUCCACCACGAACUCGGCGAAAUUGCAUUACGAGUAAAGAUGCUCGUUACGCGCAGCAGGACGGAAAGACCCCGGGACCUUUACUAUAGUUUGGUAUUGGUGAUCGGUGUGACUUGUGUAGGAUAGGUGGGAGACUUUGAAGCCGGGACGCCAGUUCUGGUGGAGUCAUCGUUGAAAUACCACUCUGGUCACUCUGGUUAUCUAACCUAGGUCCAUUAUCUGGAUCAGGGACAGUGCCUGAUGGGUAGUUUGACUGGGGCGGUCGCCUCCUAAAAGGUAACGGAGGCGCCCAAAGGUUCCCUCAGCCUGGUUGGCAAUCAGGUUUUGAGUGUAAGUGCACAAGGGAGCUUGACUGCGAGACAGACAUGUCGAGCAGGGACGAAAGUCGGGACUAGUGAUCUUCUGGUAGCGAAUGGAAGCGCCAGGACUCAACGGAUAAAAGGUACCCCGGGGAUAACAGGCUGAUCUUGCCCGAGCGUCCAUAGCGACGGCAUGGUUUGGCACCUCGAUGUCGGCUCGUCGCAUCCUGGCUGGAGUCGGUCCCAAGGGUUGGGCUGUUCGCCCAUUAAAGCGGCACGCGAGCUGGGUUUAGAACGUCGUGAGACAGUUCGGUCCCUAUCCGCUGCGCGCGUAGGAGUCUUGAGAAGAGCUGUCCUUAGUACGAGAGGACCGGGACGGACUAACCUCUGGUGUGCCAGUUGUUCCACCAGGAGCACGGCUGGUUGGCUACGUUGGGAAGUGAUAACCGCUGAAAGCAUCUAAGCGGGAAGCACGCUUCAAGAUGAGGGCUCCCACAACGUUUAAGUUGGUAAGGCCCCCUGUAGACCACGGGGUUGAUAGGUCGGACGUGGAAGCACAGUAAUGUGUGGAGCUGACCGAUACUAAUAGGCCGAGGGCUUGUCAU
rnacentral:rRNA from 1 species